rnacentral:misc_RNA from 1 species
UCCGAGUUGACCCCGGCAGUCUCCUAUGAGUCCCCACCAUCACGUGCUGGCAACAUGCGACGGGGGUUGCGCUCGUUGCGGGACUUAACCCAACAUCUCACGACACGAGCUGACGACAGCCAUGCACCACCUGUGACGGUGCCCCGAAGGGAGGGUGUGUUUCCACACCUGUCACCGACAUGUCAAGCCCAGGUAAGGUUCUUCGCGUUGCGUCGAAUUAAACCACAUGCUCCGCUGCUUGUGCGGGCCCCCGUCAAUUCCUUUGAGUUUCAACCUUGCGGCCGUAGUUCCCAGGCGGCUCACUUAAUGCGUUAGCUGCGGCACCGAGGGAAACCCCCAACACCUAGUGAGCAUCGUUUAUGGCCAAGACUAC